CUGAGGAGAGCUGAUGGAGGAGCCAAGAAUCUGGAGGACGACAUCACUCCACCAACCAGGAUCCUCAGACAAAUUACGUUUGUAACCAGACCAGGAAUCUGGAGGACUGAUGGAGAAGCCAUACAUCUGGAAGGCAAAUCCUGGGGACCACCAGGACUCUACCAUCAAGGAUUCCUCAUAAAUGUGCAUUAUCUGGACAUAGUGGACUAGACACACCUGAGCUGAACCUCACCUGAUCCUGUUUGGUCGGGGGUAGACACACCUGAGCUAAACCCGCCCUGAUCCUGACAUCCUGCUGGUCCCGUCUCCUCAGUUCAUCUGAGCCUCGUCCUCCAGAAGACCUGCUGAGUUCAGCAGUCAGAGGCUGAUGGAUCAAUGACCUCCAGUGGGAGUGAUCUUCUUGACCCCACAUGUAACCGUGUGCUUCCACACGCCUUUCCCUCACGUCUGUCACUAACCUCACUACUUCACUACUCUCUACUGCUUCCUCUUUUCUUCCUUCUCUGUGGUUCAAACCUUUACACUGAAGGCGCGUCUUCCUGCCCUCAGAGGGUUUAGCGUUAGGGUUGAGAGUCAGGGUUUAGAGUCAGGGACAGAGCUGGUCAGGGAGGACUGCUUUUACACAAACCUCUUCACUUGCUUUCGGAAUGGUGGUGAGUGACAUUUUGAAAAGAUU